AAAACGUGUUGAUUUUCAUUUGUUCUCUUAAAUAAAUGUUAAUUAUGACAAUUAGAAUCUAUCAAUUUCGGUUGAUUUAUGACAAACUAAUUAAUCAUUGUAUUGAAUAAAUCAAUUAACAUGAUAUUUUUUGAUAGGCAGUUCUAAAAUUUCAUGAAUGAAAUCCAUGGUGGUUCAGUACAUUUUUAUCAUUGACAACAUUAAAUUCGUUUUUCUCUUUCGUUUGAAGACUGUUUCACUUUCCCGCAGAAAAUAGGGUGUCGAAUCUGUCCUAUAACCUCCGUUAUAUUUUUUACUAUUUAAAGAUCGAAGAUGAAUCUUUUAUGAUAAUUGUGGAUUAAUUCAUGUAAAGAUUGUUCUAAGUGAUGUUGUGUAAGAUCGUUUGUGUUCUUGCGGUCACUCUGUAGCGUUUUAAAAAAUUAAACAUGGCCUCGAACCGAGGAAUUCAGAUCGGAUCCGCGUGGUUUCAACGGAAGCUGAACUUGAGGCCGCAGCACCGGGGCGUGCACCUUGUCACUGAGGAGAUCCUCAAGCAGGUGCCGGAGCUCUCGCAGUUCGCUGUCGGCCUCUGCCAUAUCCAAAUAAUGCACACAUCGGCGAGUCUCGCACUCAACGAGAGUUGGGACCCUGAUGUCAGAGACGAUAUGGAGAUGAUGCUCAACAAAAUUGUGCCAGAGGGCUUGCCUUACCGCCACUCAUGCGAGGGCCCUGACGACAUGGAAUCUGCCUUGCUGACAUAUUUCACCUGUGCUACUGAUUUUAUAAUAGUUAAAGGAUAUGUGAAGGAACAAUAUUAUAAAACAACAAGAGACUUGUUUAUAAAUUCUAAUUAGAUGUGGAAGGCCUUUUCAACACCAAGGCAACAAUUAAAUUAUCAUAUCAGUGUGUAUAUAUAAGAGUAAAAGGUUAAUACAACAUUUAUGACAUUGUGCUUGAUAAAUGUUUAACUUAAGUUUAUUUUUAACACUAAACUGCUAGUGGAAUAAUAAUGAAUGUGCAAUUUGUAUCUUGUAUUGGUUAAUAUUGUAUGUGAAGCAUGACUUAUUUUAAAUGCACAGAAUACAAGUAUGAGAAUUAGUGUUGAAGGUUAAGAAAACAAUAGAGCUAUUGGAAACUUAGCACAUCAUUUACUACAUACAGGCAGUGACUAGCUAAUUUGAUUUAUUAUUCAUUUGAUUGUGAGCAAAUCUUAAUUUCUUGAGUACUUUCUGUGUACACACAAUCUGCAAAUACCGUUUACUGCAUUAAUUUUGACAUAAUAUGAUUAAACAAAUCUAGCAUCUAGAUAAAUGAUCUGCGAGCAUAGGAAUCACGCUGGCAGCCGAAAGGUGGUAGUGACGCUGUCGGGCUGCCCGCGCGACUCGCCGCUGUCGCCCGUGUCGGCCGCGUCGUGUUCCAGUUAGGAGCGGGGGGGGGGCGCGACCCCCCACACACACUCUCACUCGCGCCCCUCCUCCAAAAGCACGCGGAGGUAAACCCCGCGCCGACACCUUUUAUAUCCCACACCUAAGAUAGACAUAGUUCUUACUCUUAUCUUCGAGCGACAAUAUGUACAUAAGAUAAAUAUUUUGUAACGCCUCGCGUGCCACCUCACACGCGGGCCUGUGCGAGCCGAGCUCCUAUUUGUAAUAUAGCGUUAUAGGAAUUGAAGGCGCUCCGGUGUCGAGUAGCUCGAAAAGCGCCCAGCCCGCGGCGAGGUGCCACGCGGACACAGACCCUAUUAAUGUUACGUUCAGUCGAAAUUAAUGCUGAACCCGUUGAACUUGUACAUAAAAAUUAUGUGCGAUGGUUUUAAAGUAUACAUAAAGUAAUUGUUGUUUUGUUAUUGCAACUUGUCGAUAUAAUGUAAAUAGAUCACGCGUGGACGUUGUGACAUUCCGCUUCGUAGAUUCGGUUCGAUCGUUGAAGGAGUUCAUCUGGUACCUACUUUUACCAUUAGUGAUCAUAUAAUACGUUAGGAGAAAAUAUGAAAUAAGAAGUAAUGAAUUGAAAGGAUCGAAUAUUUUUCACUACUGCACUCGUUCAAAUUUUUUCAAAGUACACCUGGAGACACUAUAUUUUUUAACAUGGCAGCACGUUAGACAUUUUUAUGGAUUCGGACACUCAUUUUACUACACCAAUUUUGUAUGUAAUCGCACUGGUUAACGGUCAGUUCGUGUAAGUUUUAAGAGCUGAAUGUAGGUUAUUAUAGUUAAGUACUUUGUACGUGUAUGAUAGCUCCCUUCUCUCUCCGUGUUAGGUUAGACUUUACUAACGAUUAGUACGUGGAACAUGUCCAUAGCUUUAAUUGUGUCACACCCGUUGUAUCAACGGGUCCUUCGCGGGAUGACAAAGAGCUAACAUUUGGUACCACUAGAUAGUAGUUGUAUAUCAUUACUCUUAAGAUCAUGUAAGUGCCUCGAAUUUAUGGGGUGGUCAAGAAUUAAUUUGCAGACUCGUUUCCGAGACUCGGUUUGUGAGUCGCGAAGACUGAACUCGGCCGGCGUGGCCGGGCGCCCGGGCCGGUGACACGCUCUCCGGCGCUGUACACUCGCGCCCUCUGACACUACGCUCCUAGGUGUUCCGUUUCCAUUCAUUUGUUGCUAUGUUUACAUGUUUAUUACGUCGAUUAUAUUACGGAUGCAAUCAAUUUCACGAUUACAGAAUAUACUAAUUAUAGGUGAAAACAAUUUAAUUUGGCGAUGUCUAUAAAGGCGUAUGUGUAUAGUUGUAAUGUCUUCCUAUGUAAGUUCCAUGUCACAUAACAAACAUUAGUAUAAUGUAAGUGAAUGUGAACGGUAUUAGGGUAUACAAACGUCACCUUUAUAUCCGGCCACAUCUAUAUAAAUUAGAUAAAGUAAUAAAAUUAUUGCGAUAGGGGGCUCCAAAUUGAAUCUAAAUUUGAGCAUAGUCAUUAUUAUACAUAGUUAUCAGGUGGAGUAAUCAGUAGCGGGUGUUUUGUAUGAUACGAGUCGUAGUGGAAAUUACAUAAUGUAAUUGGUUCACUAAUUUUACAGGGUUGAGAACCUUGUCGUUUUACAGGAAUUUAUAAUACUCAUUCCAUGUUCGACAUUCCAUCAACAGCGGAACUCAGUAGACGUCGUCUCGGGCUCGCACGCGGCGCGCUUGCGACCGUUUCGUUGCGUUCGGCUUUAGAUGUCCCAUCGAGAUCGCUUGUGUGGCACAAUUUUACACUUAGUUAGGAGUUAAUAAAUUAUAAAUAGUAGGGUACCGUUGCGUUAAGUAAAUAUUUAUUAAGCGGUGUUGACAGUGGCACGCGACACGCGAGCUCGCCGCGUCAUCGCGACACGCCGCACACACGUUGUUUUGAUACCGCAUUGUACAAAGUGUAGAUGUCUUACAUUGAUGGUAUGGUUCAUCUCAUGGACUGCUUGAACUUACUUCACUUAGGGAGCUUGUUGUACGUUCAUAUUCGGGCUUUUGAUAGAUUCACGUUUAACUUUUAAACAAUUUUUAAGUUUUUUUAUAAAUCAUGGUAGUCAUAGGAAUCGUUUUUGGAAUUAUCUAAACAGCUUUAUAAAGCUUAAUUACGCUUCGAAUGAAUAUAUUGUUUAUUAAUUAUCCAUAUGAAUAAUUUACCUUGUGUGCAUUAUCAAUGUUCUAUGUAACAAUAGAUUCGCGCGUUAUCUCAGUUUUUUUACCGCUUAAAAUUUUAUUGCAUUCUUAUAAACUUUUUGGAUUGUUCUCGGAGGUGUGUGCAAAGGGUUGGCUAUUAAGUGCUUUUUAACACAUAAUUAAUUAAGGACUUGUAAAUAUUUUUUGCAUAAAUAUAGUGUACAUGUACGUUUAUCCAUGUACAUAAUGAUUCAUCGUAAUGUAAAAAUGUUCAAGUGCUAUUGGUGUAUGGGUGUAAUGUAUGCCACUGCCAUGAAGAUUUGCCUGUUUGUUAUAUUAUUGGUUUUAAUAUUCAAAAUAAAAACAUUCUUUUAAAUGUCAUUAUAUUGUAAAAUAAAUAAAAGUAAAUACAAUAUACUUAUUAUUAGUAAUCCGAAAUCCUACUAAGUAGAUAAGUUUUCAAAGACGAAAGCGACUGGUUCGCAACAUAUAAUAACAUUCCUUUUGUUUAUCUUAAGACAUUCCUGUCGCGGGGCAUGUUUUGUUGAACCGUGAUAAUAUAGGCUAGAGAUGUCCCCAGUUAGGCUGUUCACUAACAACGAAUAAGUCUAGUGUUUUACCUUUAAGUGGACUCCCAACUCCCAUCCAGAUAAAACAAGUUGAUUAUGUAAAUUGAGUGCUAAUAUUUUAUGUAAACAUACAUUUUAGUGGCUGUAUGAUCGACGAGUACCUGUAUUAUGUAUAUAAUUAAUGUUUACAGAUUUAGGGACUAUGUAAACAAAUGUUGCCUUGUAAUUGUGUUUUAUACGGUUGUCAGUUUGGCUGCACCACAGAAUUCUAAUAGUUUAUAGUUCUCGCAGUUGUUAAUGAACCACACAUUGAUAAUCUACUUGUUUAGAGUGAGUGCCGCUGCUUGUAUGGCCACUAAGGUGUCGAGGUGCAUAAGCUACGAAAUCGUACAAUACUUAACCGCAGUUAUCAAAUUAGCCGAUGUUAAUACUUGUAUCAAGUGAUUAUUUGUUAUUUCAUGUAUUCUGUUGUAAUGUUUAAAUAUAUUAUGUAAUGUAACAGUUCAAUAAAUAGGGCACAUUUUAUCAAAUUAUUUAUGUAUUUAGCAAACAAGUAAGCGUCAUUCAUUUGUUAAACAUAUUUAAUAUUAAUUGCACUUAGGAAAAUGAGGUUGUAUUCAAGAUUAAUAAAUAACCAAAAAGAAAGACAAAUAAUUUGUAUGUAUAUUAUUUAAGAUCAGUAAAAGUUAUUAUAUCAAUAUUAUGAUUGUACAGUUGAUUGAUUCACGUUUUUCUUAGAGGAUCUUUGUCAGUUGUAUAUUGUUGGUUUUUUGCGCUCACUUGUAUAUGACGUUGGGAUAUCUGUCACGAAAAAAAUUUGAUUGUAUCAUAUAACUUGUACAAUAUAAAUAUAUAGAUCCACAAUUAUGAAAGAGAUUAAAUAUUUGCAAAAGUUAA